rnacentral:rRNA from 1 species
UAUUAAAGUUGUUGCAGUUAAAAAGCUCGUAGUUGAAUUUCGGGAUCAAUACGUCGGUCGUGCUUCGGUACGUACUGGCGUCAUUGAUUUCUCCCUUCUGACGAACCAUGAUGUCAUUAACUUGGUGUCAUGGGAAAUCAGGACUGUUACUUUGAAAAAAUUAGAGUGUUUAAAGCAAGCUAACGCUUGAAUACAUUAGCAUGGAAUAAUGAAAUAGGACGUUCGAUCCUAUUUUGUUGGUUUCUAGGAUUGACGUAAUGAUUAAUAGGGAUAGUUGGGGGCAUUAGUAUUCAACUGUCAGAGGUGAAAUUCUUGGAUUUAUUGAAGACUAACUACUGCGAAAGCAUUUGCCAAGGAUGUUUUCAUUAAUCAAGAACGAAAGUUAGGGGAUCGAAGACGAUCAGAUACCGUCGUAGUCUUAACCAUAAACUAUGCCGACUAGGGAUCGGAUGAUGUUAAUUUUUUAAUGACUCAUUC